rnacentral:rRNA from 1 species
UUACAAUGGAGAGUUUGAUCCUGGCUCAGGAUGAACGCUAGCGGCAGGCCUUACACAUGCAAGUCGAGGGGUAACAGGAGAAAGCUUGCUUUCUCGCUGACGACCGGCGCACGGGUGCGUAACACGUAUGCAACCUACCUCUUACUGGGGGAUAGCCCAGAGAAAUUUGGAUUAACACCCCAUAGUAUCACCAGUUCGCAUGUUCAGGUGAUUAAAGGUUACGGUAAGAGAUGGGCAUGCGCCCCAUUAGCUAGUUGGUGAGGUAACGGCUCACCAA